rnacentral:rRNA from 1 species
AGCCGCGGUAAUACCGGCGGCUCGAGUGGUGGCCACUAUUACUGGGCUUAAAGGGUCCGUAGCUUGAGCAAUAAGUCCCUUGGGAAAUUCAGCAGCUUAACUGGUGACAGUUCAGGGGACACUGUUGUUCUAGGGAUCGGGAGAGGUAAGAGGUACUGCCGGGGUAGGAGUGAAAUCCUGUAAUCCCGGUGGGACCACCGAUGGCGAAGGCAUCUUACCAGAACGACUCCGACAGUGAGGGACGAAAGCUGGGGGAGCAAACCGGAUUAGAUACCCGGGUAGUCCCAGCCGUAAACGAUGCGCGUUAGGUGUGUCAGUGACCACGUGUCACUGAGGUGCCGAAGGGAAACCGUGAAACGCGCCGCCUGGGAAGUACGGUCGCAAGGCUGAAACUUAAAGGAAUUGGCGGGGGAGCACCACAACAGGUGGAGCCUGCGGUUUAAUCGGACUCAACGCCGGGAAUCUCACCGGAUAAGACAGCUGAAUGAUAGUCGGGAUGAAGACUCUACUUGACUAGCUGAGAGGUGGUGCAUGGCC